rnacentral:lncRNA from 1 species
GAGCACUUUGUUGCCAUCUGGACGGCGGGUGGCGCGCUGUGUGAAGUGGAGGAGGUUCAGGGUGGGUCACCGAAGUUGAACUUGCGGCUGACGCUUGCAUCACCUGUGCAGGCCCCCUAGGUUUCCUUUUGGGCGGCGGUUCGUUCCAGGCGCUGGCGUGGCGUAUUAUCGUCAUCAGCUUAUCUGGCGCCCAUGUGUUUUAGCUCUGGCUGGCGUCGCAGCGCCUGGGCGGCUGUGGGACUUCCUGCACAGCGCGUCUUGCAGCGGACUGGAGCCCGCUUAGUCAGCGCCACAUCCAGCCCGCUUAGUUUUCUGCUUGUGUCUCCUCUGCCGGUUCUCCUGGGGUGUUGCUUAAGCAACCGACUUGUGGGGGUGGGGUGGGUUUGGGCGGGGCGAGUGCGUAGCGCUGGUGUUUUCUUUUCUGGCGCGCGGUGGUGGUGGUUCUUGCGGUUAGGCUGUGGUGUAGGUUGGUGCUUGGGUUAGGUCCGGCGGUGUUUUUGUGCAACCCCUCCCGGGGGGCGGGGGGGCCAGCCUCCUGCUCUGUCUGCCGGGUCGGGGUGGGGUGUGGUGGGAUGGAUGGGGGUGGUUGGUGGCGGUUUUCGAGGUGUUUGCUUUCUGUUUUCUUCUCUUUUCUUCUCUUCUUGCCCUGUCAGGGUUCUGGUCUCGGGGACCAGGCUGCUUUCAGGCAGCAGGGGGGCAGCGCGUCUGCCCCUGUUCAACCUUGUAAGGAUGAUUCCUCAAAAAAAAAAUGUGGUUCGGGAGGUGGUCAGCGAGCUGCGCAGGGUGAUGCAGCUGCGUUUCACUGCCGCCACGCUAACCCCUGAAACCCUGUCGGCUCUGCCCACACAGCUUCUCACCGCACAGCUCAAGGCGGCUAAGCUGGAGCACUUUGUUGCCAUCUGGUCGGCGGGUGGCGCGCUUUGUGAAGUGGAGGAGGUUCAGGGUGGGUCACCGAAGUUGAACUUGCGGCUGACGCUUGCAUCACCUGUGCAGGCCCCCUAGGUUUUCUUUUGGGCGGCGUUUCUUUCCAGGCGCUGGCGUGGCGUUUUAUCAUCAUCAGCUUAUCUGGCGCCCAUGUGUUUUAGCUCUGGCUGGCGUCGCAGCGCCUGGGCGGCUGUGGGCCUUCCUGCACAGCGCGUCUUGCAGCGGGCUGGAGCCCGCUUAGUCAGCGCCACAUCUGGCCCGUUUAGUUUUCUGCUUGUGUCUCCUCUGCUGGUUCUCCUGGGGUGUUGCUUAAGCAACCGACUUGUGGGGGUGGGGUGGGUUUGGGCGGGGCGAGUGCAUACCGCUGGUGUUUUCUUUUCUGGCGCGCGGUGGUGGUGGUUCUUGCGGUUAGGCUGUGGUGUAGUUUGGUGCUUGGGUUAGGUCUGGCGGUGUUUUUGUGAAACCCCUCCCGGGGGGCGGGGGGGCCAGCCUCCUGCUCUGUCUGCCGGGUCGGGGUGGGGUGGGGUGGGAUGGAUGGGGGUGGUUGGUGGCGGUUUUCGAGGUGUUUGCUUUCUGUUUUCUUCUCUUUUCUUCUCUUCUUGCCCUGUCAGGGUUCUGGUCUCGGGGACCAGGCUGUCUUCAGGCAGCAGGGGGGCAGCGCGUCUGCCCCUGUUCAACCUUGUAAGGAUGAUUCCUCAAAAAAAAAAGGUGGCGCCUGCUCGCCACUGGGUAACAGGGGCGUGCGCAGUGCCCCUUGCUCCACCUGCUGCCGCAGAAAGGACGUCAGUGGCUGCAUCUGGAUGACCCACAGGGGUGGUGAGGCGGUGCUGCCCUGCGGCAAGCCGUUCAGCACUGGGAAGGCGUCAGAGAGCAUCCCGUUCACACACCCGCGGGCAGAGCCGUUGGCAGUGAGCAGGCGGAUCCAGCGCAGCAUGCGCGGCCCAAACCCAAGUCCCUCCGCGGACGCAUACAGCCACUGCCGGUGCACCCGGUCAUACUUUUUUUUACUCUCUUCUCUUGCUAUUCUUGCAUCCUCCUUUCCUUCUGCACAGCUUUGAAACAGUCAACGUCAUUUCUCUCGCGCUGUUUGACUUGCUUCCUUUUGUUUUAGGCUUCUUAAGGCCUACGAACCACUGUGAAGCAGUUUGCAUUUGUGGGCGUGCUCGUUUUUCGUCAGUCCACUUUGCAGCUGUAGCGCGACACUCCCUCUCCAGCGCCCUUCAGCCUAUGCCGGCUUGUGCUUUGGAACUCGACACUGCUAUGGAAUAGGUUUCUGGCGGUUCAGGAGCGUCGCCGUGGAGUUGGCGACAUUUCGCUUGUCGGCAUUUUAACAUCUCGGCGAGCACCCACUCUGGGAAAAGGUCUUCCCCGGAAAAAAAUCCGUUCCCGGAAAAAUGCUGAACUUUCCCGUAAGGGGCCAAAACUUUCCCGGAAGGGGGGCGAAACUUCCCCGUAGCCGGGGUUCCCCGGAAUCCCAAAGGGAUAGAUUUGGCGUAUUCUGCUAGUGAUUCGUGUGCUGUACGGGGCGUCAAGUACUUUCCCUUCUAUUACACCGUUCAGCAGGUACCCCUGCUCCUAUUGUGGUGGAUGGCCCACCCCACACCCUCGGCCGCCACUCUUACACACCCUAAUGCCCCCAGCCACCAUCCAUGGCACACCGUCUACCUUCACUUUGAUCAAUCCACCGCCUGGUGGCCCCACCUCCUAACUUAUGCCUUCCUCUUCCUCGACACCCGCAGUGCAUUCUUCACCACAGUUAGUUGCCGCCUUGCCCAUGCUGUGUCGGCACCAAUGCAAAGGAGCGUGCCUAGGGGACGGGACUCAUCCUCUAGCAGGCCCUUGACCAGUUCCAGGCGCUCAUGUGCUGCCCUCAUCUCCUCCGCAUUCCCAUACCCAAACAGGAUGGAAUCGUCCCGUAUCCGUGCCUCAAUCCAGUUUGCCCAUCCCUUGUUGAACAGGUUGCUGUAACCACGGAACUCUGCCUCCUCGCUAUCUGCGAACUCGUAGGCAAGUAGCCGCCGCACCACCUUCUCUCUCUCCUCCUCCUCGUCCCAAUCAUCACCUGUGCCACCCUGACCCUCACCCACGCUUGUGCUCGUAUCCGCGCUCUCAUCCUCACCCUCACUCGAGCUCUUGCUGGUGCUGCCCCCCUCACCCCCACUCCCACUCCCACCCUCACCCUUGCUCUCACUCUCGCCCUCACCCUCUUCGUCACCUUCACCCUCGCCCUUGGCCAGGGUGCUGUUGCGCCGUUUCUCCCAGAGUUCCAUCACGAACGCACGUGCGUCUGCAACUCUCUUCUCAGCGGCACCAAGCGCGGUUGCGUGCACACACGCCGCCCAUUGGGCCUGACUACAGAGAGUGUAAUUGAUGGACAUGGUUGGCUCCAGGUUGCACGCGGCGUGCACGCAACGGGGUUGCGCAACUGCUCCCAUGCCCGGACCGAGUGUUACCAGAUGUCCGCCAAAGGCAGCGUGCAGUUGCUUGAGGAUGGCAGGAGUGAUGAGCCUCAUUGAUGUCAGCAGCAGGUCCAUGUCGGCCUUCUUGGUGCAGCCCUCUAGCAACUGCCUAAAGGAGCCCGGCGCAGUCCAGAACAUCUUCUCACCCGUCAUGACGAUGAGUGCACUUGGGGCAGAAAAGGGGUAGUCCUCGUGGCUGCCAGUGAAGGAGUGCCUGUAUCAGUGGUGAGAAUAGACGGUGCCAUGAUGGCGCAUCUCAGAAAAUGCAGUCUGCAUGGGUCUACCUUUGUUGAAGCCCUGUACAGUCAUUGCCCGGUAGUCUAGGGCAACCUGGUGCACUUCAGAGUGUUAUUCUACACUGGAAGGGACUUACUUGGUGCCUGCAAGCACGUCACACAUGCCCCGGUUGGGUCCAAGGUAGAAGGACGUGUCUGCGCCCUUGCAUGCCUCAAAUAGAGUGUCGUCCUUGAACAGCUGCAAGUCAGCCUGAAGUGAUGCCAACAACUUCUCCAAUGGCAGCGCGCGAGAUGCGUCGUACUUCUCGGGACCAGAAGUGCCCCUGUAUAUGUUCAAGGGUGGCCAUGUGAUGUCAGGCUGGUGUAUACAGGGUUUAGAGUGUGCAGCAGCAACUCACCAGUCCGGAGGCAUGUAUGGCAGACGUAUUCUCCGUGUACAUUGUCUUCCUUGUAGACGGGGACGAGACGUGGAGCCAGUGCUCAUCAAAGGGCCGUUUGUCCACGCCAGUCACACCGUGUAUGGCAGCCGUGCGCCCUUGUCGGUCCUGUGCAUAUUGUCCCAUACAGCUUCGUCAUUGUCAAGUGUUAUGUUGUCACUAUGCACGCAUGAGUACCUGUUCGGUGCAGUCGGUCACGAGCUUGCUUCGCGUGAAAAUUUGUCUGAUGUCGUCCAGCAGCUCCUUGGUCCUGUCAGUUGUCUCAAAAACGGCGAAAGGAAACAGAGCAGAGCCAAGCACCGCAACACCGGCUUUAUCAGUGAAUACUGGGCGAUCCAACAACUCCUCGCAUUUUUCAAGCGAAGUAAGCAAUAGUUCUGUCCGGAAAUGUCGCGCCAUUGUGUUUAAGUACGUCAAAGGAGAAGUGGGUACAAGUUUAUGAAGAGAAACGUCCUUGAACACAAGAUACCCGAUGGGCCGCCGGGCAUCGGCUGACGGCUCUAAGUCCGCACUAACCAAGCAUGGAACCCGUAAUCUUAAGGAUAUGUUUACUCUAUAAGAUGGGCUCUUUACGAUUUAUAGCUUUGAUACUACUUCUGUACGCAUCAGUGAUGGAAGCCGCUGAUGACGCGCAGUUUGCGCUAGUUCGACGAGGACAAGGUGGCAGGCGUUCUGGCUCGCGUCUUCAUUGGGUUUGCAUCAAAUGCAAUUGGACGGUGGCAGACAAGGCGCUGCACGUGUGUCCAAACCCUGCGGCUGCCCAUUACGACCUCGGACUUGACGGCGUGCUCGAAGGUGCGCUCACUGCUUGGCACACCGUUGCAGGCAUACUUCUAACAGCAAUCCUUUGCACCUUCAGACAUCCCGCUUGUCGAGCAAGCACCCCCUUCUGGACGGACCGACACGCAUGUGGAUACACACACAGAACAUGGUGUGUUUUGCAGACCCAAAGGCAGCUGUUACCCUGGGGGCUUUCGCAUGUGGGCACGAGACUGUGUGUGUGUGUGUGGGGGGGGGGGGGGGCACUGGGGCAGCAUGGAACUAGGGCUGGGUGAAUUGUAAGUACCCAUAAGCCAGAACAUACACACAACCCCACCCCACGCUUAUUCCUGAGCAGGAGACCAUGGUGAAAGUCCCACCGUAUCUGGUGACUCUGCACAAGCACCAACUGCCAUGGAUGGUCUGCCAGCCCCGUGUGAUGGAGAAAUUGAUGAUGAUUUCCAAUCGGCCAUGUCCAGUCACUCAGAGGGUGAGUCCUGUCCUUACCAUUCCUGGUGAUAGCAUAACUUAUUGUGAUCAAUGGACAGGAGACGGGGACGCUGAGUUCCGUGAUGCAAUCAACGACCUGGACCCCAUAAACCUGAUGGACUAUGUAGCAGAGUGGUUAGCAGACGAGGUCUCUGGUGCCCCACCCCAGGAGCCAGGGGCACUGGAUCCUGUUGCAGUUGCUUCCUGUGUGUGCGGCUGCACUCAGCCUUACACACCACCAGGCACCCGUGCAUUCUAUCAGCUCCACCUAGACCAUCCGUUGUGGGCCAUACCAGAUCCCCGAUACCCAGGAGAAUACAUCCAGAAGUGCAAGUAUACACUGCGUGAAUUUGCUCAUGCACUGAUGGGCCACAUAAUGAAGUACGGUCCGCGUCGCGACGAGCUUGAAUCAGCAAUGCGCCUUCACUGUGCUACACUCCCCGACAAUCAUGUGUGCCCUUCAUCUUUGUACAUGCUGACUACCCUAUGUGGUGCACCCUCUUGGAAGGACUUUGAGCAGCAUGCAUGUACCAGUGGCCAGUGCACAGGGCACCUGUAUGGAAAGCCAGCCUGUGACGGUACUGACUUGAAAGAUGUGUGUCCCAAGUGUGCCGUGCCAAGAUACAACAUUUCCAAAUUGGGGGGUAAGUGAUGUCGAACCAUGUGGAUGGCGGUACAUUGCCUUACCUGCCCCCCCACCCCCCAACCCCACACACACACCCCCACACACGCACAGACCGUGAGGUGUAUACCCCUUCCAGCUGGUUUGUAUACUUUGGAAUAGAAGAGGUCAUCAGGUCUCAGUUCUUUACAAACCCUGCGUUCUGCAAAGAGCGUGGGAAAUUCCGGACAGACAACCCACCUGGCUCCGCCAUGUGGAAUGGUGAGCAUUGAGAGUUGUUCCUAGUUGUAGGCAUUCCCUGAUCACGACUCUAACACAGGCACAUGGUUUGAACGCAUGCAAAGUGCAACCGGUGGUAAAGUUAACAGCAUGGAUGCUUCGGUCUAUGACUUGGGGAUUGACUGGAUUACCCCGUAUAACUCGACACAGCACUCUAUUGGGCUGAUCUUCAUCCGGUGUGCGGAUGUUGACCCACGCAACAAGGGGAAGUGCUGGAAUCAACACGUCAUUGCUAUCAUAGCAGGCCCAAAGGCUCCAGAAACCAUUGAUCCGAUCAUGCGCCUCAUAGCGUCAGACUUUCUGCGCCUGCAGAAUGGCAUGCAGGUCACAGAGGCAUGGCCAGGUGAGAAUGGGGUCACGCACAGCAGGACAUUCGUACAUCUGGUAUUUCUUGGCGUUGUCAUGGCAGACACACCUGCCCGGGCCAAAGUUUGCAAUGGCAAUGGGCAGAACUCGUACGUUGGCGCGUGCACAUGGUGCGUGUUCCAAGGCAGCAGUGAAGGAGGCACCAUACGGUUUCUGGGCUACCGGGAGCCUGUCCGACAAACAUUUGUUGCCUGGUGAGUUGGAUGCCGUAUCCUGUGCUUGAGGAGCUGUGACACAGUCUCCUGUGCAUGCAGGGUGGAAAACAAGGACAUUCUCGUUGGUGACAAGCUAGUAAAGCUGACCCAUCAACAGCACCUGGAGCGGUCAGAGUUUAUGCAGCAUCUUAAGGAGCGGUUCUUGUUUGGCAGGGCAGAUGGCAAUUCCAUAUCCAUUGCGCAGUGGGACAACGCUAAGCGGCGGUUUGGGGCCAAGGGCUACAAUCCGUUCUCUGUGUUGCCAUACGUAGACCUGUCAUCCCUGUUCACAGUGUCUACUGGUCACGCACUACUGUUUGGUGUUGCGUCAGGAUUCGUGGAAUACCUACUUCGGCCCCUGAAGGACAUUGACCCACAGGCGACGGAUGCUGGUAUUGUGAUCACAGCUGAUGCACGGAAGCUGAUUGCUGAGAGGGGGUCCGCAGUGCAAGUCACGGCUGACUUUGGGAGGCGCUACAAGUGUGUAGUCCAGUACAGGUGUGCAGCCGUGUGAUUGCCGUGUGCAUAUGUCCCUGUGUCACACCCCUCCCAUGUUUUGUGUCACGCAGAAACAGCUACAGGAUGGAAGACUGGUUGCACUUCGUGGAGACGCAUUCCUUGUAUGUUUUCAAGGGUGAUGUUUUGCCAGCUGAGGUUCGUUCACUUUGGUGGGACUUACGCGAUGUUAUAUUGCACCACUUCCGGCCGUACGGGGACGACGUCACCCGGGAGCAGUUCUUACAGCACUCAAGCACGGCAUCUGCCAAGCUAAUGAACUACGCGCGUACUCUGGAGGACUUGUGCCUGCCAGGUAGUCUGCAUACACUCAACCUACACAUAUGCGUGUGCAGGUAAGCCAGGCACGACUGCGUGGAAGACCCGGCAGCGCUCACAUGCUGUGCACAUGCAGGCUUGGUGACCAAGACAUUCAGUUUGGGUCAGCUGCGGCACUCAGUGACCUUCCCGUGGAGCGUGUCAUGCAGGAUAUGAAGUCCCAAGGUGGCCGCAUGGUGACACAGGCUCCUGAGAAGCAUUAUGCCCAAUGGCUAUGCCUCUCACGACACGCCGAGGCAUUUGCCAAAGGUGACAAAUCGGAGGGGGCCCACACAGCACGGGAGCAGCUGGAACAGAUGGUUACACGCAAUACUGAUUAUACACGGCCGUGCUUUGAUAGCCAGGGCUUAGAUGGUUUGUUGGUCGGGCAGGGCACCGCUGUAGCAAAUGCCACACAGGAGCAGAAAGAAUCUGCGCUCUCUGCUGUCAAAUCCCUGGUGUACUACUACCAUGAACUGGAACAUGUUCACACGUGGACUGGGGAAGGCGGCGGACUCCCAGAGGCGCUGAUCCAUUCGGUGUUUACUAACACUGGCACUGGUACACCCCAGGCUCGCGUUUUCAUUCGUGCAGAGUCACCAGACGAGGAGAGGUACUUCAGCAGUGCAUAUGGCCGUGCCCGGUCACGCAACUCGUGUUGGGCAAUGUACAAGGCGGAGGUGACGGUUGGCAAGGGUAGGAAUGCAACUGUGAAGGAGAGCAAGUACGUGGCAUUCAUUCGUUUCUUCUUGUUGUUGCCGUCAGUGAAUGACGGGGCCGUUUCCACACAAGAAGUUAGGGUUGCUGUGGCGGAUGUGUACGAGACAAGGGAGUUUGAAGGAGGGCUGCUGGUGGUUGACUUCAGUGUUGUUAAGGCACAGCAGAUUGGGAAGAAGGAGAGGGAGAGUGACUGGAAGAUGUGGAAGGAUCUAGGUAUCCCUCUCAAAGAGCUGAAGGGGAAAUGCUGUGUGGCCGCUCCACACGGGGACCGCCGGGGCAUCAUGUACUUCAUGCCGUACACACACUUCACAGAUCGCUGAACCGCUGUGUCUGAGGCAGCUGGCCAUGUACAGUGGAGUCUGAUAGAGUAUUGCAUGUGGUGUUACAAUGCUGACAGGCUGUAAACACCAAUUACCAGACUCAAAGCGUUCCACCUGCCCUGCCUAUUUGUGGCUCUGUGGCUGUGCAGCCAUUUGAGAGCCUGUGACCAAAUCCUGCCCAAAGCCCCAGCAGAGUCAGGUUGCCCCAGCUGCGUUUCAUUGCCCCACCUGCCCUACCAGACGCUCAAGUCAUUCCAUCUACCCUGUCUCAACCCUUCAGCCUUGCCUCCUCCUCCUACACCUCCACCUCCACCUCCUCCUCCUCCUCCUCCUGCUAUGCCUCCUCCUCCUCCACCUCCUCCUCCUCCUCCUCCUCCUCCUCCUCCUCCUCCUCCUCCUCCUCCUCCUCCUCCUCCUCCUCCUCCUCCUCCUCCUCCUCCUCCUCCUCCUCCUCCUCCUCCUCCUCCUCCUCCUCCUCCUCCUCUGAAUCUGAUAGGCCCUGAAAGCACAGCUCGGACCGCCAGCUCACAACUGUGUUGUUGGCCACCCACGACUGGUCUGGCAUGGGAACCCGGGGUACCAUACCCUCCAGUGCAUACACGUGCACGUAGGUAAGGAUGACAAUGGGCCUUUGCGGGUCGCAUGCCCACGGCUUGCCGUGCACGCUUCCAGUGACGGACUGUGCAAUGCCACGUGCUAGCGGCUCCCAUUGCGUCGGCACCAACCCAAAGUCAGGGUCAUCAAACUCAUACACAAGGCUGUCAGAACCACCGGGCAUGCCUGUGUCAAAGCUCCAAAAUACACCCGAGAAUGGCCAAGGGUCAGGCAUUUCUUCGUGGGGCAUGUUGUCACGGACCUGGUUAAACAGCAGCCCUAUGACACUGUAGCCUUCAGGAGCGACGUAAUCAGCUGUUGCGAGGAAGGGAUGGACUUUGCCCGAGAGCCUUGCAACGGACUUGCGACGUGAUUCCAGCGGGAAGUGGUGCAGGUGAUACCCCGGAGGGGGUGGCAUUAUGCUAAAACACUGUAUGUAUGUGAAGUAACACAAUGCAAAAUUGGACUGUGGACUGUGCCUCUAAAUUCGCGAGAGUGUGAGUGCCCCAUCACGAACUUCCUACUUGUCCACAAACAGCUUGCUUGUCCCCACUAAUAACACAUUUGUUUACAAAAUCAAUUCCUGCUCGCUACUUAGAGGUCAGAGCAUGUGGAAGUAGCUACACUGUUAAAAACAUGGCCACAGCGGCCGCGGUACCUGGUGCCCUUCUGCCCAAAUGCAUUACGCUUUUCCUAGUAGAACAGAAAGGAACCGGUGACAACACAGUUGUUGACAAUGUGGAGUUUGCGGUCAACGUUGGCUGUGCGGACACUCAGGAGAUUCUUGAAGACAUCCGCUUAGUAGUCGGUGAUGAAAAGGAUGUAAUCUUCAUUGGUGACCGGAGCGGUGGGACUACUGCUCAGAAUAAUAGCAGCUCGUUUGUCAAAGUGCCCAUGGCCUCACUCGACCCGCGCUUGCCUGCAGGAGCGGAGUUGCGGGUCCGAAUUAAGGGUGUUGCCGCGUAUGCGGCUGCUCUGUUCUCAAUCUUCAACCCGCCGAGCCACCCCGACAAGGAUGCCGUGAACAUGGCCACCGCAGCCUUUGCCGCAGAGCGGCCUUUCACCGUGGGCGAGCUUGUAUUGACUGACAAGGGAAACCUGGAACUGUCUGUCAAAUACAUUAAGAGCGUGCAGGCGGCAGAUCCCUUGCUUCGUGGCGGGGCGACCACGGCAGCCUCCAACCUCGACGGGUGCGCGCAAACUACUCGAUAGCAGGAACUUGGGAGUUGCUGAACAAUGUGCCAUACCCUUGCAGGGGUCGAUGCGAAACUGGAGACCCUGGCGCAGCCGGUGGUCACAAAGCUGCACCUAUGCAGCAUGACCCUUCAACAGCCACGUUCACAACCCAGACCAACAGCACUGCUCAGCGGCGGAAGAAGGAGAUCGUGCAGCUACCCACCUUGGUGCAGGGACUGGUGACUGGCAGUUUGAUAGGCAAUCAGGUGGCGGCAGCUGUGAAGCUUGUGACAGAGCACUGCAGGAGUGGCUGGAACCACUUGGUUCGCCAAUGUGAGUGAGCGUGCUUACACAAAUGUGGUAUUCAUGUGUGCAGCUGUAUCUUGCAUUCACUUAUUACACUGUGUCUCACAACCCAUCCCACAUGGGUGCACCCACCCCCUUACAGACUCGCGCGUGUGGCCAGUGGACAAGAAUGGCGCGCAUGUACAGCUGGGCGAGCUGGGUGACGCCCGUGGACACGUGUACACCGACCUACUCACUGGUAUGCAGCAAAAGCACUAGAUGUUAUGCAUAGCAGAAGGCACGAUUCUCGCUCAUACCUACAGGGCUCGUACACUAUGGUUUAUUGACCACGCCAUUCGGUGCUGAGCUGCCUUUCUCUGGCGCCAAGCAGCAGCUUGACCUGUCAUUCUACGGCAGUGUUUGCUGCGCAAUCAGGCGCGAAAACAGCCUUACCACUAAUCCUGACUGCUUCAGUGGGAACACCAAGACCAUGUUCUGGAUUCCAGGCUCGUCACCGCACCCUAGACUGGAGUCCGCAGCAGGUGGCAAGAAAUCAGCGACAGCAGAGGCCGCUCUGUGGAGGGAGAUGCGUGAGUGAGUAACUUCGUGAGUAUGCAUGUGUUACAACACUCUGACUCACAUACAACCACAGGUGCAGCGCCAACUUGAAGCACAACAUGUUUGUCUCCGUUAAGCAUGCCAGUGCUGAUCCGGACAAGUCACUGGACAAGCAAGAGGUCCUAGCUACCACUAAGCGCAGCCAGCCCAUCAACUUCUCAGUCAACAUCACCGGCAUAGGUGACUCCACGAUGGACAUGGCUGUGCUGGAGAGGCAGUACAAGGCGUACUCCAAGUUCCACUUUGGGAAGUCUCAGGGGGGUGGUGGAAGCAGCAGCACUGGAGGGGGCGGUGGCAGCAGUGGGGAGGUUCCACACAUAACCUCACGGGUGCCAGGGUUCCCUAGUUCUCAGCUGGAGCACAUCCUGGAGUCCCGUCUGUUGAUGGCACCUGACAAGGAGAACGAACCCACCUCGUUCAUGUGUGACAUGCUGGCGCGCAGCUCCUAUGGCCGCAAGUGGCGCAAGGCAGCUGACGGCCGCGCCAUGCUGUACAUGCAAUACAGCAAUUCCAGCCGCUUCACUGGCCCCAACCUGUUCGCUCCUGGUGCCAAAGUCCCUCCGCUUGGUCUACUCCUGCGGCUUGGCACUGCAUCAACUUUCCGGGACGCCGGAGCCAUGCUUACAAGUUACAUCGACCGUGGCGGUAAGUGCCCGCUUGCACACCCCUGGAUGGCAUGGAAUGACGCUCUUACUUACAUUGCCAGAUGGACCUACUGCUGCACACCCAACGGCGCUGGCAUCACGUGUGUUUGGCUUCGCACUACCGACUGCGCAGCCUCCACCACCUGAUGAGCAGGUGCCACAGCAGCAGCAGCAGCAGCAACAGCCGCAGCAGCAGCAGCAGCAGCAGCAGCAGCAGCAGCAGCAACAUCAACAGCAGCAGCUGCAGGAGCGAGAGCAUGAGGCAGGUGUAGCAUGCGCAGCUGGUGGCCGACCCACCACCAGUGUAUCCGCUGAAAGUCCUACCUACGUAAGUACACAUCCCGGGUGUGUAGAAACGUUCAUGUCCUAACUGCGCAAUUGAAAUUCAGGAUGGGGCGGAGGUGAACCCAAGGCACGGAGGGGCUGCAACCAACACAAAUGACGGAAUCCAUCAGGUGCGGUUGAUGUUUGGGCAAAACCUGUUUGGGCAAAACCUUAAGCGUCUUUUAUGCUGACCGUGCAUUCGCAUUUAUCUGCCAUUCAGACGACCGCAAGUGGCGGUGCCGGUGGCGGUGGACCGGUGGCAGAGCCACCUCACCUACCUGGGCCACCCCCGGCACCACCAGUUGUGGUGGCAGCAGCGCCGGCAGCCCCUUUGGGAGCGGCAGCGGCAACAGUGGCACCGGCAACGGCGGCAGCGACAGCACCGGUGAGUGUUGGCAUAGUUGGCAGUUUGCACGGUGCCUGCUACCACACUUGUGUGUGCCACAUAUGUGCGGCAAGGGAUCCCGCGGCAAAGCCCACAAUACAUCUACACUUACAGAAGUUGCUCGUUCCACCCCCAGGUGACUGGCUUCACGCUGGACAGCCUUGAAGACAUAGAGGCUCGCUGGGGACUCACGGGAGAGGUCGAUGCCAACCCGCGCGCAGGGCAACGGAAACGAAAGGUGGAGAACCCUGAUGAUGACCUAGGUGUGCGUGUGCGGAAGGAGAAGAAGAAGCAGAAGAAGGCGGCAACACGGGGUGUGGGUGAGGGCCGUGGCCGGGGAGGUUCCAAGGCAAAUGCCAAGGCCAGCACCAAGGCCGGUGCCAAGGCCAGCGCCAAGGCCGGUGCCAAGGCCAGCACGAAGGCCGGUGCCAAGGCUACUGGCCGUGGUAAGAAGCCAGCGGCUGAGGAGGAGCCAGAUUUUAGCUCUGUUUCAGAUAGCGAGGAGGAGGCGGAGUUUGAAAGUGGUUCUAGUUCUGAGGAGGAGGCAGAGGUGGUGGAGGAGGAGGAGGAGAAGGAGGCGGCAGCGGGGAGUGCGCGCCAGAAGGCCACCAAGCAGGGCGAGCGGCGGUCAUCACGCCUGCAGAUGUAGUGAGAGGUUUGGUGAGAGAAUGAAGCAGUAUUGGCCAUUGUGUAGCGUGUUAGCAGCUCCCAAGACUUUCCCGUUCGGGUGCUGAACUUACCCGUAAACGGGCUUCACUUGCCCGUAAGAACUUCCCCGUAAGGACUUCCCCGUACAAACUCCGACUUUCUUCGAAAAGCAUACGGGGAAGAUUUUUCCGGGGAAGCACCCCCUGUUUUUCCGGGGAUUUCCCCCCCCCCUUUUCCCAGAGUGACCACACUUCACCAGCUUGGAGCAGGCGGCGUAUCAACCUUUGUGGUUGGUCAUUUGCAUCCGCGCGUGCAGCAGGGUGCUUUGGGUGUGGCGGUCGGGGGAGCCCUGCAGCACUUGGCUGUUUUUUUAGGGGUGUGGCUCGUCUUCGUGCCCUUGUUGCCUGGCGCCCGGCUGCCUGGCGCCCGCCCUGCUGUGAUGCCCUGUGAGUGCUGAUCUUGGGUAGCUAUGCAGUUGCUGGGUGAUCCUGGUCGGUUCCGCCUGGUGUCUCAGCGCAGCCAAGACACCAGGGGCCAACACCAGCCAUGCAGCACACACACACAUGGCGCGGCCGCAGCAGCACAUGCCGUGCCGUGUGGAGGGCCUGUGUUGGGGCAUCACCGCCCACUGCCAGACUUGGCAGCGGACCGCACCCCUGCAGGUGGGGGCACCGCUGCCAGCCCAUUCUUCAGCCCCGGGCUGCAGCUCCACCUUGCCCUGUCCACGCAUAGCCUGGCGCACGGCGUGCAGGACCUGACGACGCAGCCUCAGGGCCCCAGCCUGCCUACCUACCCAGUCCUUCUGGUGGGUGCCACCACGGGGCUCCCAGAGGGCGAGCAGCUGUCCUCCGCCGGCGUCCGGGAAGUGACCAGCGCUGCCUUGUCAGUGCUGGACACCAUGUGCAGGCAGGGCAACCAGCCGCAGCUCUUGCAGGGCCACUCUCUGCACAGCACAGGCCGCCCCUCCCGCACGUUUGCGGGGCUGGCCUUCAGCCGGUGCGCAACCAGCGCCAGCAAAGCAGCCUUCACAGCGGAGCUCAUGCGCAAGUCGCUGCUGGCGGUACCGCUCCAGCGCGGUCAGGCUGUCCUCACGGUUCACGUGCCAGUGGACAACCGGCCCAUCAUUCCGGGCACCUACACCGUCACGGUCAAGAUGGUAGGGGGCCCUGUGUGGGGGGCUUUCCGCGGUCGCACCGAUUUGGUGCUGCAGGCGGGCGGCUAUAAUAAUAAUAAUAAUAUGUACGCGGUUCACGAAGGAGGCCGCGUUUCUUAAGGAGGAGUGAGUUUUGCUCACCCCACCGUGUCAAAAGGUGGGAAGUUAGCCUGGAUCGCGAGGGCUGGGGCCAGCAGCCGUGGCGCCGCCAGUGGGACCGACGUGGCGUGAGUUCACAAUCCCCAUUUCGCGCUCAAGGCGGUAGUAGAGAAGGGAUGUGGUGCGCAGGCUGAUGACACUGUGCAUGUGUAUGCGCGAGCAGCAGGAUUUUGCUGAUGUGGUGGUGGCACCCAGCGACCGGAGAAGGGGUUCCAAGGUGUUUGACACAGUGCCGCCGUGGCCCAGCGUCACAAUCUGCUCCUUUUUAUAUACUACGUCCCAGCCUGCAUCCCGCAGGGCGUCGGCUAGGCGAGUGUGCUGGGCUUGUUUCUGGUCACACUUUUCGCUGUGGUGGAGGUCCGAUGUGUAACCAACUUCUAUCAGGUAAACUUUGUGUUGCCGUCGGCCGGCGGUUGUAAGGCCGCGGGGCCCACUAGCCCCCACGUCGGAGCAUGGUAGGGAUGGGAUGAACAGGAUGUCAGGCCUCAUCCUUUUUCGGUCGGCCUCGGGGAUAUUGUUGCGCAGCAUCCAUUUGGGGGGGCAGGUGCCCGCACAGUAUUCGGGGCGUGCAUCUGCACUGCUUGCGUCCAUCAACAUGUACCCGCCACCGUUGGCGCCAUGGUGCAGGCAUUCCGCGAUCAUACGGACGGCGGCAUUGUGUUUGGCGAUGCGGGCCCCAACAAGUUGGGGGUGCGCACAGUGGCCGGCAAGGUGGCCUGCGUUGCCCCGUUCGGGGGGGGAUCCAGCGCGCUGGUGAAUCGGGGCGCAGAGUGCACAUGUGUCACUCGCACGUAGUUUGAACAGCGCAAGCCGGGCGGGGCAGAUGAGGCCUCCCUGCCUGGCAUUCUGGAUGAAGCGUCGGAGGCUGUGCCCAGCGCCAGGGUGCGUCAUGUAGGCGGUGCUGGCCCUAGUGUCCAGGUGUGGGGCGGACUCCGCCCACUUGGUCGUGUAGAGUGUGUGUUUGGAAUGACCGCCAUGGGAGGAAGGGUCUAGUGUUUUCAGGAGGCCUCGAUUGAGGUCCGAGAUGUAGUGCACGGUGGUAGAGCCGUCUUCCCGCGUCCGGGUCGUUGCUGGCCACCAGUGUGCGGCGUGGGGGUUAUUGUCAGCGAGCUCCGAGACGUCAGCCGGUUUAGUGCUUGUAGCUACGUCUGCUGCACCUUUAUCGGCUUCUUCAUUACCGUGCAGACCCGUGUGAGAAACGACUUUGAGGAAAACGGUGUGUGCGUCCCUCUUCGCUCGUGCAUGGAGCAAAUCGGCGAUCGAACUCAAAAGUGCCUUAUGUUUGCUCAGAUGUAAGCGACGUGGUUCGUCAAUAGCCCGUUUAAUUAGAUACAAGCUUGCAGCUGAGUCACUGGCAAUGGUUAGCGUUUUCUUCGCGAACAUACUAGUUUCACCUCCGAAUUCUUCCAGGGCUGCACGAAUUGCAGCGAGCUCGGCGCGUGUAAUAGUGUUAGUGCAGCCAAAUCCAUUUGGGUUUACGUAGACAACACGGUCUUUAUGCCAAGCACAAGCCCCAGCCACUUGUAGUUCUCUACCGGUUUCAGUCGUUGUCUUGGAUACCGAGCCAUCGGUCCAUACAAUUUCCUCGGGGUUGUGGGCCAGCGGCAGUGUACGUUGGAAUUGUGUCCGAUUCAACCUCGGUGUCGCUGGAGCUUCGUCAGGCGUGACCAUAGUGGCAAUGUUCAGGUGAGUUGCGAGGUACUUGGCAUGUUUGGAGGUGUGACGUGGGAUGUGGGGACACGACGUGUUUAACGUGCCGGACCCGAGGUGGGUGUCAGCGACGGUUGCGGGUGCGUGGGGGCCGGCUACCAGUGAGGAGCGAAGGCCUUUCCAGCUCUGCGUGAAGGCGUUUAGCCCAGCUGUGUUGCCAACGGCAACUAGUAUGGCUCCGCGUUGCUUCUGCAGGGGCACGUCAGUGCCGAGUCCAGGCUCCAUCCCAGCUGUGCCUGGGGAGUCCAGUUCUCCGUUCGUCCAGGUGGCGAGUCGGCGGCAGAGCGGGUGGGUUAGCCACUGUGUGUGUGGGUAAGUUGCGCACUUUGGGAGGACUAGAAUGGUCAGUGUGGGUUCCGGGGAGUUGUUGACUGUCUCGGCACUGGCGAGGGCCCAUACGAGGGCCUGUCGUGAGGCAUCAGGGUUUGCAGGAGGGUGUGCAUAGUGGAGCCCCGUCCAUGCAGUGCUGUAGGCAUCGUGUUGGGCGCCGAACACCACAUCAGCGGCUUCCCGGCUCCAGUAUUCAUCGGCAUCGGUCGUGUGGUUCAGGGGUGAGGCAAACAUUUCCUUGACCCUCCCCCUGCCGGUGUUUCGCAGGCUGCGCACAACGGCUCGGACGGUUGCCGAGGGGAGGGACGUCUGGUGCUGUGGUGCCGUCUUAUGAUCAGUUUGCCCCGGGUCGCGCCGGUAUCGGUGCAGCAGGGCAGCCACCGCCUCCUCGAAGGCCUUGGUCCGGUUGUUGUUGGUCCGGUUGAAGCUUUCCCAGAGCGUUUGAAGGCGUGCGUAGGUGAGCAUGCCGAGCCAGCGUCCGCUGGGUUCAUAGACAUGGGCCUCUCGGGGGAGGGCCCGGCCUGCUGUGGGGGUGGUGAUGGCGUAGCUGCCUGGGGGGGAAACGUCGUGGUAGGGAUCGCUGGGGACGGUAGAGAUGAUGGUUGCUGCGCGGGUCACCCGUGCACGCAUUGCUUGAUCGUCCGGGUCGUCAUCGUGCCGGCCCUGGCGUUGCCGCAUUGUCAGGUUGCGAUCCUUCGGAGGCCGUGUGGGGCGGGCGGGUGCAUCAGGUCCCGCUGCAAGUCGGUUGGUGUAUUCUGAGAUCAGCUCCUCCCACUCCAGGUCAUGCUUAAGGUCACGCUCACGCUCAUUGCUGUUUGCCCACGUAACUUGGCGCAGGAGACGAGUCGACCUUGAUGAAAAGAGGGCCGCACGUGGGGCAUGUGUUGUCUCGAGUGGCCCGGGCGCAGGUGCGGUGGGCGGCGCGUGUGUAGGUAGGAUGCCGGCGGGUUGGGCCGCUGUUGCUGUGUCUGCGUCUGUCGUGCCGGCCCCGUCUGGGUGGGGCUGCAUUGUGCGUGGGCGAGCCUGCAGUGGGUGCUUGUAGCAGCGCACGUCUGUGACCGUGGCGUAGCCCAUGCGUGAGAAGGCGGUGACUAGGCCGGGUGGGAUGACAGAUGGCUUCCAUUGGACCGCGAAGUAUGGCUCGCGGGUGUUGGUUGUGUCCUCGCCCGCUUUGUGUUUGCGUGCAAUUUCCUUAUCUGUGGCAGUUUGUUGGUUUGUGCGGUACAGGAUGGCCGCCAGCUCCUGGCCAUCAUUAUCCAGGUCGUAGGUAAGCUGCGCAUCUCCGUUGGUGCAGUCAUCGGUGGGAGGGUGGACCAGGUCCUUGACUACACGUUNNNNNNNNNNNNNNNNNNNNNNNNNNNNNNNNNNNNNNNNNNNNNNNNNNNNNNNNNNNNNNNNNNNNNNNNNNNNNNNNNNNNNNNNNNNNNNNNNNNNNNNNNNNNNNNNNNNNNNNNNNNNNNNNNNNNNNNNNNNNNNNNNNNNNNNNNNNNNNNNNNNNNNNNNNNNNNNNNNNNNNNNNNNNNNNNNNNNNNNNNNNNNNNNNNNNNNNNNNNNNNNNNNNNNNNNNNNNNNNNNNNNNNNNNNNNNNNNNNNNNNNNNNNNNNNNNNNNNNNNNNNNNNNNNNNNNNNNNNNNNNNNNNNNNNNNNNNNNNNNNNNNNNNNNNNNNNNNNNNNNNNNNNNNNNNNNNNNNNNNNNNNNNNNNNNNNNNNNNNNNNNNNNNNNNNNNNNNNNNNNNNNNNNNNNNNNNNNNNNNNNNNNNNNNNNNNAUCGCUGGGGACGGUAGAGAUGAUGGUUGCUGCGCGGGUCACCCGUGCACGCGUUGCUUGAUCGUCCGGGUCGUCAUCGUGCCGGCCCUGGCGUUGCCGCAUUGUCAGGUUGCGAUCCUUCGGAGGCCGUGUGGGGCGGGCGGGUGCAUCAGGUCCCGCUGCAAGUCGGUUGGUGUAUUCUGAGAUCAGCUCCUCCCACUCCAGGUCAUGCUUAAGGUCACGCUCACGCUCAUUGCUGUUUGCCCACGUAACUUGGCGCAGGAGACGAGUCGACCUCGAUGAAAAGAGGGCCGCACGUGGGGCAUGUGUUGUCUCGAGUGGCCCGGGCGCAGGUGCGGUGGGCGGCGCGUGUGCAGGUAGGAUGCCGGCGGGUUGGGCCGCUGUUGCUGUGUCUGCGUCUGUCGUGCCGGCCCCGUCUGGGUGGGGCUGCAUUGUGCGUGGGCGAGCCUGCAGUGGGUGCUUGUAGCAGCGCACGUCUGUGACCGUGGCGUAGCCCAUGCGUGAGAAGGCGGUGACUAGGCCGGGUGGGAUGACAGAUGGCUUCCAUUGGACCGCGAAGUAUGGCUCGCGGGUGUUGGUUGUGUCCUCGCCCGCUUUGCGUUUGCGUGCAAUUUCCUUAUCUGUGGCAGUUUGUUGGUUUGUGCGGUACAGGAUGGCCGCCAGCUCCUGGCCAUCAUUAUCCAGGUCGUAGGUAAGCUGCGCAUCUCCGUUGGUGCAGUCAUCGGUGGGAGGGUGGACCAGGUCCUUGACUACACGUUCCCGGGCUAGUUUCCAAAGUGUUUGCUUGCCCCGCCGGCGAGACAGCCUGAGUGGUGAGGCUUGCUGCCUAUCGUCCGCUUCCAUCAGGUCGUGCUGACUAUCGUCCACUUCCAUUUGGUCGUGCUCAGGUGCUGCGGCGUCGACGUCCAUUGGGUCCUCAGCGGCGGCCGCGGCUGGCUGCCCUUGGUGGAGGUAGGUUUGCACGGCGCCAGUAGACGGCAUGGUCGCAUUCGCAGUGAGCAGAGUGGUUAUUGCGGGGGCCAGGGGCCGUUGCGUGCGGGUAACCGGGGUUCGGUUAUUGAAUGAAGGGGGGUCCCUUGAGUGGGGCUUGCAGAGGUGGUUGUGCCUGCUCAUGUCUUUUGCCAGGGCCGUGAACACUGAACGUGCCGUUUUGUACCCACGUGUGCCAACGGCCAGGCUUUCGUCUCCAUUUGUGAGGCGCAUAGCCGUGCUGAUUGCGGCUUUAUCACCGGUGAGCAGGUCGUCGGGUGUUGUGCGCGUGUUUUCUGCAAUGCGGGCCUUUUGGGCAGCGUGUUUCGUGACGCGGCGGGAGUGGGCAGUUGGGUGUGUGGGAGUGCGCAUGACGGGCGUCUUCCGUGGCCGUGCCACCGGGUUAUUGUGGAAAUGCUGCGCCGCCGUGGUGGUCAGCUGCGCCGCUGCACGCUGCCACUCCGCCUCCCGCUCCGCCAGCCGCGACUGUGCCGCCGGCUGGGUCCCCGAACCCCCCGCCUGCUGUGCUGGCGCCGGGCACGGCAUGGCUGCGGGGCGGGCCGGAGCCAGAGGGGCGGCCGGGUUUAUUUUUUGAGGAAUCAUCCUUACAGGUUGAACGGGUUGGCCGCGGUGAUGGCCCGCCGCACGUCCUGCACCGUGUAGUCCGCCAAGCUGACACCCGCAAUUUGGCAGAGCUCCGGGUGCACCACCACCCCAGCCUCCGGCGCCAGGAAGUACGGCGCCCGAGGCCACGCCCCCGCCCGUUCCCCUGGUGAUGCUGCAUCGUACGCCGCCCGCUCUUCAAAGACUCUCGGCUGGAGCACUUUGUUGCCAUCUGGACGGCGGGUGGCGCGCUUUGUGAAGUGGAGGAGGUUCAGGGUGGGUCACCGAAGUUGAACUUGCGGCUGAUGCUUGCAUCACCUGUGCAGGCCCCCUAGGUUUCCUUUUGGGCGGCGUUUCUUUCCAGGCGCUGGCGUGGCGUAUUAUCGUCAUCAGCUUAUCUGGCGCCCCAUGUGUUAUAGCUCUGGCUGGCGUCGCAGCACCUGGGCGGCUGUGGGCCUUCCUGCACAGCGCGUCUUGCAGCGGGCUGGAGCCCGCUUAGUCAGCGCCACAUCUGGCCCGUUUAGUUUUCUGCUUGUGUCUCCUCUGCCGGUUCUCCUGGGGUGUUGCUUAAGCAACCGACUUGUGGGGGUGGGGUGGGUUUGGGCGGGGCGACUGCGUAGCGCUGGUGUUUUCUUUUCUGGCGCGCAGUGGUGGUGUUUCUUGCGGUUAGGCUGUGGUGUAGGUUGGUGCUUGGGUUAGGUCUGGCGGUGUUUUUAUGCAACCCCUCCUGGGGGGCGGGGGGGCCAGCCUCCUGCUCUGUCUGCCGGGUCGGGGUGAGAUGGGGUGGGUUGGAUGGGGGUGAAACANCCAAGUGCUGCAGGGCUCCCCCGACCGCCACACCCAAAGCACCCUGCUGCACGCGCGGAUGCAAAUGACCAACCACAGAGGUUGAUACGCCGCCGGCUCCAAACUGGUGAAGUUUGGUGCUCCCCGAGAUGUUAAAAUGCCGACAAGCGAAAUGUCGCCAACUCCACGGUGACGCUCCUGAACCGCCAGAAUCCUAUUCCAUAGCAGUGUCGAGUUCCAAAGCACAAGCCGGC